rnacentral:rRNA from 1 species
CGCGAAACCAGUCGAGCUACUGUUAUACGUAUGGUAGUACGGGAUAUGUGGCAUAAUAAUUACAGAUAUAACAGUAGGGGUGAUAGGCCAUCAAGUCUGGUGUUAUCUCGUUACCCUUGAAAUGUAUUUAGUAUAGUGCCAAUUCAUGAGUGAUAAGGCUUAUGAACAGUAUGUAGUCUGGUUAAUUUCUUACGUACAUAGUUUAAUCGCUAGUUAUUGAUUAUGUAAAUAUUAAAAUUUGAAGGUAAUAAACAAUAAAGGGUAUUAAAAGAAUUGUACCAACUAUUUAUAUUGUGUGCAUUAGUAAUUAAGGUAUCAUUGAUGAACUCGGCAACAUUUCUUUCACCUGUUUAUCAAAAACAUCGCCAGUAGAUAAGACUAUUGGUUAUUUCUGCUCAAUGUAUAAUAAAUAGCCGCGGUACCCUGACUGUGCAAAGGUAGCAUAAUCAUUUGGCUUAUAAUUGAAGUCUCGUAUGAAAGAAAACAUGGGGGAAAACUCUAUUAAUGAUAUUGUGCGAACUUGCUUAGGAGGUGCAAAAACCUCCCGUUAAAUAAUAGACGAGAAGACCCUAGAAAUUUAUAAGAUAUGUUUAAAUCACUUUUUGUUGGGGGCAACAUCGUAGCAUUAAACCUACAGUACCGACAUGUCAUGUUAAUAGAAAGAUAAAAUUACUCUAGGGAUAACAGCGUAAUUCUUAAGAGUUUGCGACCUCGAUGUUGGACUAGGAAGCAGUCGCUUAGAA